rnacentral:rRNA from 1 species
UACGUAGGGGGGCAAGCGUUGUCCGGAUUUAUUGGGCGUAAAGAGCGUGUAGGCGGCUUUACAGGUCCGUUGUGAAAACUCGAGGCUCAACCUCGAGACGCCGGUGGAAACCGUAAGGCUAGAGUCCGGAAGAGGAGAGUGGAAUUCCUGGUGUAGCGGUGAAAUGCGCAGAUAUCAGGAGGAACACCCGUGGCGAAAGCGGCUCUCUGGGACGGUACUGACGCUGAGGAGCGAAAGCCAGGGGAGCAAACGGG